GAUGAACGCUGGCGGCGUGCCUAAUACAUGCAAGUAGAACGCUGAAGCUUGGUGCUUGCACCGAGCGGAUGAGUUGCGAACGGGUGAGUAACGCGUAGGUAACCUGCCUCUUAGCGGGGGAUAACUAUUGGAAACGAUAGCUAAUACCGCAUAAAAGUCGAUAUCGCAUGAUAUUGAUUUGAAAGGUGCAAAUGCAUCACUAAGAGAUGGACCUGCGUUGUAUUAGCUAGUUGGUGAGGUAACGGCUCACCAAGGCGACGAUACAUAGCCGACCUGAGAGGGUGAGCGGCCACACUGAGACUGAGACACGGCCCAGACGCCUACGGGAGGCAGCAGUAGGGAAUCUUCGGCAAUGGGGGCAAACCUGACCGAGCAACGCCGCGUGAGGGAAGAAGGUUUUCGGAUCGUAAAGCUCUGUUGUAAGAGAAGAACGAGUGUGAGAGUGGAAAGUUCACACUGUGACGGUAACUUACCAGAAAGGGACGGCUAACUACGUG
rnacentral:rRNA from 1 species